rnacentral:rRNA from 1 species
CCUACGGGAGGCAGCAGUGGGGAAUAUUGGACAAUGGGGGGAACCCUGAUCCAGCCAUGCCGCGUGUGUGAAGAAGGCCCUCGGGUUGUAAAGCACUUUCAGUGAGGAAGAACGCCUGGUGGUUAAUACCCAUCAGGAAAGACAUCACUCACAGAAGAAGCACCGGCUAACUCCGUGCCAGCAGCCGCGGUAAUACGGAGGGUGCGAGCGUUAAUCGGAAUUACUGGGCGUAAAGCGCGCGUAGGUGGCUUGAUAAGCCGGUUGUGAAAGCCCCGGGCUCAACCUGGGAACGGCAUCCGGAACUGUCAAGCUAGAGUGCAGGAGAGGAAGGUAGAAUUCCCGGUGUAGCGGUGAAAUGCGUAGAGAUCGGGAGGAAUACCAGUGGCGAAGGCGGCCUUCUGGACUGACACUGACACUGAGGUGCGAAAGCGUGGGUAGCAAACAGGAUUAGAUAUCCCUGUAGUC